rnacentral:lncRNA from 1 species
GCGUCGUCCCAGACACCCGAUGUUACAAGACCGUUAUAAAAAGUCUCAUUUUCACUGUUCUUCGUGCCUCUAAGUCCAUUCUUUGGGUUUGAACGGGUGAGUGUGUUUCUCACAACCUGAGGGCCCGUUCGGGAUCUCUGUGCCUACGUGGAGUGGGACUCCGGCUGAGAGAAGAGACAUGUCCCACCCGAUUUUUGUGCCCCACUCUGUCUGGGUGUCCUGGCUCCCCACAGAAGCCAUAGAUAAACCCGAGACUGUUAUUCAGGAGACGGUGGAGGUGACGCAGGGAGAAAAGCAGGCACUGCGGCAAACAGGCAACCUCGUGCACCAGCCAAGUUCCUUUGAGUGUCACGGGAGUACCAUCUCUUUACCUUGGCAAGAGCAGAUCCUUCAUAUCUGUAGUUGAAUCACACACUCUCAGAUAUCUGAGCUUGAAUUCUACAGGGACACUUAUCUCAGCUUUUGAGUUUUAGUAAAAAUAGCCUGCAGACCAGAGAAUAAGGAAAAGUUGUUUCCUGCCAAAGAACAAGCAGUAUUGUGAAAUAUAAAAUUUUAUUGUUGCGGUGAAAGAAAAUUUCAGUAUCAAAUUUUUGAAAACAGUA